GCAACACAAACUCAACCACCGCACAAAAUGCUCAGAAUACGCACCUCCACAAUUGUUGCCGUCAUUUUCUUCUCCACAGUAUGCCUGGUGUCUGCCCAAGCGCCCUCCCGUGCACCGUCUUCAGGCAUGGAGCCAUCGCCCCUAUCGCCUUCAGCACCUACACCUUUCAUGCCUCUAGCACCUUCAGCACCUACACCUUUCAUGCCUCUAGGGCCGUCCUUGGGGCCGUCAUCACUUGACUGCAUGACGCCGCUGUUCAACAUGUCAGAUUGCUUGACUUAUGUAGAGGAAUCGAGUAACGUGACGGUGCCGGACAAGAAUUGCUGCCCGGAGCUAGCCGGUUUGAUCGAUGGAAGUCCUAUUUGUUUGUGUCAGCUGCUGAGUAAUACUAGCUUGACGGAGUCUUAUGGUAUCAAGAUCGACAUCAAUAGAGCUCUUAAACUUCCUUCUGUCUGUCGUAUUAGCACUC
rnacentral:lncRNA from 1 species